GUGGGGAAUCUUGCGCAAUGGGCGAAAGCCUGACGCAGCCAUGCCGCGUGAAUGAUGAAGGUCUUAGGAUUGUAAAAUUCUUUCACCGGGGACGAUAAUGACGGUACCCGGAGAAGAAGCCCCGGCUAACUUCGUGCCAGCAGCCGCGGUAAUACGAAGGGGGCUAGCGUUGCUCGGAAUUACUGGGCGUAAAGGGCGCGUAGGCGGACAGUUUAGUCAGAGGUGAAAGCCACGGGCUCAACCUUGGCAUUGCCUUUGAUACUGGCUGUGUCGAGUACGGGAGAGGUGAGUGGAACUCCGAGUGUAGAGGUGAAAUUCGUAGAUAUUCGGAAGAACACCAGUGGCGAAGGCGACUCACUGGCCCGUUACUGACGCUGAGGCGCGAAAGCGUGGGGAGCAAACAGGAUUAGAAACCCCAGUAGUCC
rnacentral:rRNA from 1 species